UUAGACUUGUUUGCGUCAGUUUCUGUUUUGCCCUACAUGUUCAGAUACGGAGGUUUUUUUGAAUUUGCCGCUUUAUGACGCUAUCUAUGAUCCUGCGAUUUUUAACAAGACUUCACAGUGACCGACUCCAUUAUUAAAAAACGAACUGUAACGGAAAAGUCAUUGAGUACAGCAUUGAUUUUUAUCGAUUUAGCGGUAAAACUAGGGUGAUUUCAGUACGUUUUGGAACUGUUGCACAGUUCUUCUCUGAUUUUUAUACGACCGCAAAAAAAUUUUUGUGGUCGUAUAUUGGUAUGACGUUGGCGUCGUCGUCGUCGUCGUCGUCCGGCGUCGUCGUCCGAAUACACAUUAGUUUUCGCACUCUAACUUUAGUUUAAGUGAAUGGAUCUCAAUGAAAUUUUACCAUAAGGUUCAAUACCACAAAAGGAAGGUGGGGAUUGAUUUUGGGGGUUAUGGUACCAACAGUUAAGGAAUUAGGGGCCAAAAAUAAGCAUUUUUGUAACUUCCAGACAUAACUUGUGUGUUAGUGUAUGGAUCUCUCUGACAUUGUACCACAAGGUUCCAUAUCACAAAGGGAAUGCUGGGAUUGAUUUUGGGGGUAAUUGCCUCCAAAUUUUAGGAAUUAGGGGCCAAAAAGGGGCAAAAAACAAGCAUUUUUCUAGUUUCAUGACAAUAACUUGUGUGUAAGUGUAUGGAUCUCUCUGACAUUGUACCACAAGGUUCCGUAUCACAAAGGGAAUGCUGGGAUUGAUUUUGGGGGUAAUUGCCUCCAAAUUUUAGGAAUUGGGGGCCAAAAAGGGGCAAAAAAACAAGCAUUUUUCUAGUUUCAUGACAAUAACUUGUGUUCAAGUGUAUGGAUCUUUAUGAAAUUGUACUACAAGGUUCCAUAUCACAAAGGGAAAGCUGGAAUUGAUUUUUGGGUUAAUUGCCCACAACGUUUAGGAAUAAGGGGCCAAAAGUAAGCAUUUUUCUAGUUUCCAGUUAAUAACUUGUGUUCCAGUGUAUGGAUCUCUCUGAAAUUGUACUGCAAGGUACCAUACCACAAAGGGAAUGCUGGGAUUGAUUUUGGGGGUAAUUCCCUAGAAAUUUGAGGAAUGAGGGGCCAUAAAGGGGCAAAAAAACAAGCAUUUUUCUAGUUUCAGGACAAUAACUUGUGUGUAAGUGUAUGGAUCUUUAUGAAAUUGUACUGCAAGGUUCCAUAUCACAAAGGGAAAGCUGGAAUUGAGUUUGGGGGUAAUUGCCCGAAACGUUUAGGAAUUGGGGGCCAAAAAGGGGCCAAAAAUAAGCAUUUUUCUAGUUUCCAGACAAUAACUUGUGUUCAAGUGUAUGGAUCUCUCUGAAAUUGUACUGCAAGGUACCAUACCACAAAGGGAAGGCUGGGAUUGAGUUUGGGGGUGAUGAAUCAUAAGGGGGUUCAAAAAAUUUGGGGGGGGAGAUUUUUUUUUUUUUUUUUUUCUUUUUUUCCUUUUUUUUUCUUUUAAAAUUUUCCAUUUUAAGUUGAUUAUUUCUGAUUUAUAUUUAAAAGCAAAUAAUAAUGAUAUGUUAGGAGAUACACACCAAACAGGAUGUGUAAAUUAUUAUAUAAUAAGUAUUGUGCAAUAGCAAGAAAUUUUCAAUUGCACAGUAUUGCACAAUAGCAAGAAAUCUUCAAUUGCACAGUAUUGCGCAAUAGCAAGAAAUCUUCAAUUGCACAGUAUUGCGCAAUAGCAAGAAAUAUCCAAUAGCACAAUAUUGCGCAAUAGCAAGAAAUUGUCAAUUGUACAGUAUUGCGCAAUAGCAAGAAAUAUUCAAUUGCACAGUGUUGUGCAAAAGAAGAUACUUCGUAUAAAUUGCUUAUUUCUUGAUCAAUUUCAAUGGGGUUUUAUUCUUGAAUUCUUGGGGUUCUUUAAUAUGCUGAAUCUAACCGUGUAUUAAGUUUUUGGAUUUUGGGCCCCGUUUUUAAAUUGGUCCACAUUGAGGUCCAAAGGGUCCAAAAUUUAACUUUGUUUGAUUUCAUCAAAAAUUGAAUUAUUGGGGUUCUUUGAUAUGCCGAAUCUAACCGUGUAUUUAGAUUUUUAAUUUGGGGUCCCGUUUUUUAAAUUGGUCUACAUUAAGGUCCAAAGGGUCCAAAAUUAAACUUAAUUUGAUUUUAACAAAAAUUGAAUUCUUGGGGUUCUUUGAUAUGCUGAAUCUAAACAUGUGUUUAGAUUUUUGAUUAUGGGCCCAGUUUUCAAGUUGGUCCAAGUUGGGGUCCAAAAUUAAACUUUGUUUGAUUUCAACAAAAAUUGAAUAUAUGGGGUUAUUUGAUAUGCAAAAUCUAAACAUGUAUUUAGAUUUUAGAUUUUUGGCCCAGUUUUCAAGUUGGUCCAAAUUGGGGUCCAAAAUUAAACUUUGUUUGAUUUCAACAAAAAUUGAAUACAUGGGGUUCUUUGAUAUGCUGAAUCUUACCAUGUAUUUAGAUUUUUUAUUUGUGGGCCUGCUAUCAAAUUGGUUCAUAUUGAGGUCAAAAGGGUCCAAAAUUAAACUUUGUUUGAUUUCAUAAAAAAUUGAAUUAUUGGGGUUCUUUGAUAUGCCAAAUCUAACUGUGUAUUUAGAUUUUUAAUUUUGGGUCCUGUUUUUUAAAUUGGUCUACAUUAAGGUCCAAAGGGUCCAAAAUUAAACUUAGUUUGAUUUUAACAAAAAUUGAAUUUUUGGGGUUCUUUGAUAUGCUGAAUCUAAACAUGUGUUUAGAUUUUUAAUUAUGGGACCAGUUUUUAAGUUGGUCCAAAUUGGGGUCCAAAAUUAAACUUUGUUUGAUUUCAACAAAAAUUGAAUAUAUGGGGUUCUUUGAUAUGCUGAAUCUUACCAUGUAUUUAGAUUUUUUAUUUGUGGGCCCGCUAUCAAAUUGGUUCAUAUUGAGGUCAAAAGGGUCCAAAAUUAAACUUUGUUUGAUUUCAUCAAAAAUUGAAUAAUUGGGGUUCUUUGAUAUGCCAAAUCUAACCGUGUUUUUAGAUUUUUAAUUUUGGGUCCCGUUUUUUAAAUUUGUCUACAUUAAGGUCCAAAGGGUCCAAAAUUAAACUUAGUUUGAUUUUAACAAAAAUUGAAUUCUUCGGGUACUUUGAUAUGCUGAAUCUAAACAUGUGUUUAGAUUUUUGAUUAUGGGACCAGUUUUCAAGUUUGUCCAAGUUGGGGUCCAAAAUUAAACUUUGUUUGAUUUCAACAAAAAUUGAAUAUAUGGGGUUCUUUGAUAUGCUGAAUCUAACCAUGUAUUUUGAUUUUGGACAUUGGACCAUAAUAGGUAAAUUAAAAAAAUUGAAGUUCUUAGACCACAUUCUUUCUGUGUCAGAAACCUAUGCUGUGUCAAAUAUUUAAUCACAAUCCAAAUUCAGAGCUGUAUCAAGCUUGAAUGUUGUGUCCAUACUUGCCCCAACUGUUCAGGGUUCGACCUCUGCGGUCGUAUCAAGCUGCGCCCAGCGAAGCAUUUUAUUUU